CGAGACAUAAAGCCCUUAAAUUGAAUUGAAUUGAAUUGUAGAGAGUGAGAGAGAGAAAUGUAGAGAGAGAGAUAUGUAGAGAGAGAGAUAUAGAGAGAUGUAGAGUGAGAGAUGUAGAGAAAGAGAGAAAGAUGUAGAGAGUGAGAGAUGUAGAGAGAGAGAGAUGUAGAGAGAGAGAUGUAGAGUGAGAGAUGUAGAGAGAGAGAGAUGUAGAGAGAUGAAGAGUGAGAGAUGUAGAGUGAGAGAUGUAGAGAGAGAGAGAGAUGUAGAGAGAGGUGUAGAGAGAGAGAGAUGUAGAGAGAGAGAUGUAGAGAGAGAGAUGUAGAGAGAGAGAUGUAGAGAGAGAGAUGUAGAGAGAUGUAGAGAGAUGUAGAUAGAGAGAGAUGUAGAGAGAGAUGUGGAGAGAUGUAGAUAGAGAGAUGUAGAGAGAGAUGUGGAGAGAUGUAG
rnacentral:lncRNA from 1 species